CAACGUCUUGGUCCUAAACCUACUGUUAUUUUUAGCCCACCUUACACAUGCUAGUUUCCGCAAACCAGUGCAAACGCCCACCCGAACAUAGGAGCCAGUAUCAGGCUCGUACCUACAACAGCCUAAAACACUUAGCUACUCGCCACACCCCCACGGGCCUCAGCAGUGAUAAACCUUGGGCAAUGGGCGCCACACCAAGCCCGACCCAACGACAGCUAAAACAAGGGCCGGUAAACUUCGUGCCAGCCACCGCGGUUAUACGAAGGGCCCAAAAUAACACACUUCGGCGUAAAGCGUGACUACAGCCAACUGCCAACCAAAGAAACUCAACCCAACGUAUCAUAGUAGAAUAUAUCACAAAAAUAUGAUCACACAGUAUCUACAAUACCGAGCAAACCUGGAAUCACGACCGCUAGGGCACAAACUAGGAUUAGAUACCCUACUAUGCCUAGCCAUAAACCUUGAUAGUUAAACAACAAACUAUCCGCCAGAGAACUACCAGCAAAAAGCUCAAAACUCAAAGGACUUGACGGUGUCCCAAACCAACCUAGAGGAGCCUGUCCUAUAAUCGAUAACCCACGCUACACCCAACCUGCCCUAGCAACCACAGCCUAUAUACCGCCGUCGCCUUUCGCCCACCUAAUGAUAGACACCCAGUAGGCACAAUAGUCCCACACUAAAACAUCAGGUCAAGGUGUAGCUAAUGAGCAGGAAGAGAUGGGCUACAUUUUCUCCUCACCAGAAAAAACCACCGGCACUAUGAAACAUGUGCAACCAAGGAGGAUUUAGCAGUAAGCCCGGCAAGACCCACAGCCAGGCUGAAGCCCAGCUCUGGGACAUGUACACACCGCCCGUCACCCUCAUCAACCAACUACCACCCCCCCCCCAAAAAAAACCUCCACAACACCCCAAAAAAGAAAAAAGUCCUAACAAGGGAAGCGUUCUUGGAAGUGGGCCUUGGAACA
rnacentral:ncRNA from 1 species